UCUAGGUUUACUAUCCGUUAGCAGCAGAGAGGGAAUAAUUCUCAAUAAAGCUCUAAAUUGAAAUGAAUCGAGUAUGAUGACAACGAGAGCACGAAAAUUCUUCACGUGCAGGUGAGAAUGGAUGAUGAGGAAAUGCUGAAAAAUGAACUCGAGAGGAAGAUUCGCGUUAUCCAGAAAAAGAGAGGGGAGAAAAAAAAUCCAGCCCAAACCGCUAUACAAUCCUGUAUUUAUAUUCUGAAUUCAGCUUGGAGUUCGUUUGUAGUUGUGCGAAUGUAAAUGCUUCGCGUGGCUGCAUUUUUUAAUUGGCUUGUUUGGCAGUUUAUGCUCACGGCUCACAUCAGUUGGUUUAACGUUGCAGUUGCGUUUGGUUGCAGCUUUGGUGUUGGCUCCCGGUUUGGCUUACUUUCAGAAAUUGUUAGCAGCGGCUUUUGUUGGCUUACUAUGUGCUGUUGCCGUUUAUUUCACGGCUUGCUCUUUGCAGCGUUUAAGUUUGGAAGCUCAUGUUGAUUUGUUCCAGAUGAUGGCAGCUUGUGGCAUUGCUCGUUGUGGAAUGCGUUGAUACAACUAGCUUCUUGCCGUUUUCAAUAUUCAUUGUGUGGCAGCCUGCCGUUUGUUAUGGUGAGCUGCGAAGCCGUUUGAGCCAAGGUUCAUACUCUUUACGUUUUCGCUUGGAUGCCGCGUUUUGAUGCUCGCGGCUGGUUAUGCCGUUCAUGCUUUUGGCUUAGCUGCGGUUGCAGCUUUAAAGCUUGAACGUUUCACAUGUACUGCUACUUUGGCUUGUCAUGCCUAUUUUUUGUAUUUAUUUGAAUACUUGGAAUGUGGGUAGUGGAUAGAUAUGAAUGUUUUAAUGAGAUUAAAAAUUGGAUA